ensembl:lncRNA
CUGCUGAUGUUUUUUAACUAGAGUAUUUAAUAAUUGAAACUAUAACCCAUGUUUCCAGAACUCUGGUGUCAGUCUUCAUUUUAUGUGUCAUGACAAAGUGAUGCACUCUGGAGAUUUACUGAGGUCUUUCAAUACAAUCGGGUCACAGGGGUAAAUUCUUUCUGUGUUCCUAGUGCUGUGUUAUCUCCAAAAGUCUCUCCCCUUCUCUUCCAGAACAAACUCAUUUAUUUUCUGUAGUUGUGUAACUCUACUCUGUCCAACAGAAACACAAUGUUGUUAUAAUAUUGUGCAGCAUUCCAGCUGUCCACCGGAAGUGACAGCUGGAAUCUCUCAGAUUCCCCUGUGUUGAAGCCACAGAGAUAUCCUCCUAAGGAUUGGCUUCAAAAAACCCUACUAUGACUAUCCUUUCCAGCCUUACUGACUAAAGUGCUCAAACCUCACAGAUAUAACAUGUGCUAUCCUAAAGCUGUUUGGUUGGUUUUUUUGUACAGCUUUUGUAAAAUUACACAUUAAGACUUUUUUUUUUUUUUUUACUUCACUUCAGUCUUAUAUACUAGACAUAUCAUUCAUACCGAUUGUGUUUUUCUUUUCAAAAUACACAUUCUGUAAUGUCAGUACAUUGUUUUAUCGUGUAACUAUAGUCUGACACAAUCACAGGCCAACAAAACACAGUGUUAGCUUCAACCACUUGCAUAACCACCUUUAGCAGCAAUAACUGGAAGUACUGGUUUUCUGUAUGGCUUUAUCCAUCUCCAACAUCAUUGUAGAGGAAUUUUGUCCUGCUGUUCUUUACAACAUUUAUUUGUUUCACUGAGGUUUAUUCAUUCUAGGUUCUGCCACAGCAUUUCAUUUAGGUUCAGGUCUAAACUUUUACUUAACCACGAUUGCAACUAUUUGAUUUUUUUUUUAUCUUUUUUUUUUUUUUAACAUUCUGUUGUAGAUUUCAUAUUCAAAACAAGUAGAGAGACAAGUGAUGGAGCCACCAAACAGCAAGAAAAAUAGAAAAAAAACCCACAUGACAGGAAU